GAGGCAGCUGUCGGAGAGCAACGGGUGAGCAACAGUCUGAGUGAAAACCUUCACAUUUCUACUUCGAUCUUAAGAAAGCCAUACAGGUUUGGAACCAAGUGAAAACGCAGUGAUGACCAGAUUCCAUCAGCUAUGGAAUGUGAAAUAAAAAAAUGCUAUUUCUAAUCAUUUCAAACAAGCACCAGGGAGGGCAGGGGGUGGGGGUUAUGGAUCUAAAGUAAACAGUUAAUUCUUAAAAAUUAAUUGUUUUACAUAUUUUUCCAAUGUUUUUUAUUUGUUCAUUUUUAUGUUUGAAUGUUGUCCAAGUUGUUUUUGUCUAUAUAAUUGUUCAAAAUAAAUCCCUUUAUAUUCAAUUAGUUUGGAUGGAUUUUCAUUUAUGAGAACCUGUUAUAUUUGAGUGAAAAGAAUCCUUA